CGGCAGCCAUUAGCCUGUUCGAAACACUCCGACUCCAUUCCGACCUCGGCUGUGAAAGGACAGAGCGGCCAGGGUACUCCAAGCGCAGGCUGGGGGGAGAUCAGCUGGGCGCCGGUCG
rnacentral:rRNA from 1 species